GAUCCGGAGUACCACGGGACACGAGAAACCCUGUGGGAAGCUGGGGGGACCACCCUCCAAGGCGAAACACUGAUAUGGACCGAUAGCGCAUAGUACCGUGAGGGAAAGGUGAAAAGAACCCCGGGAGGGGAAUGAAAGAGAACCUGAAACCGUAUGUCUACAAGCAGUCGAAGCACUUUUUAGGUGCGACGGCGUGCCUAUUGAAGAAUGAACCGGCGAGUUACUUCAGCUAGCGAGGUUAAGCAGGAAAUGCGGAGCCGCAGCGAAAGCGAGUCUGAACAGGGCGUAUAGUUAGUUGGAGUAGACCCGAAACCACAGUGAUCUACCCAUGUCCAGGUUGAAGCACAGGUAAAAAUGUGUGGAGGACCGAACCAGUGAGCGUUGAAAAGCUUUUGGAUGAGAUGUGGGUAGGGGUGAAAUGCCAAUCGAACGUGGAGAUAGCGGAUUCUCCCCGAAAUUUGGGCUAW
rnacentral:rRNA from 1 species